UACGAAGGGGGCUAGCGUUGCUCGGAAUCACUGGGCGUAAAGCGCACGUAGGCGGAUUGCUAAGUCAGGGGUGAAAUCCUGGAGCUCAACUCCAGAACUGCAUUUGAAACUGCCUUGCUCGAGUACUGGAGAGGAGACUGGAAUUUACGGUGUAGCAGUGAAAUGCGUAGAUAUCGUAAGGAAGGCCGGUGGCGAAAGCGAGCCUCUGGACAGUUACUGACGCUGAUGCACGAAGGCCAGGGGAGCAAACGGG
rnacentral:rRNA from 1 species